AUGGGACCAGCUCGCUGCGUCUUCCCGUCCAACAGAUACAUGAGCACCAGCCGCCUCCAGCAGAAGGGGGGACACAGUGCGCCAACUUAUCAGGAGCCUAGUGCCAAGCUUCUCUGCCUGCUAACGCUCACGGCAUCAUUGAUGUAUGAUGCGUGGGAUUCUUACGAUGGGUUUGCAAGCCGUUUCGGCGAGUUUUCGACGUGCGAGUUCUCGCGGGAGCAGAUUUCCCAAUUCCCAACAGCUGCUUGGUCGAUACUGGACAAGACCAGUGACUUGAUGCUGGAAAGAGAGCCCCCAACUUCAACCUGA
rnacentral:rRNA from 1 species